GCAGAACGCGAAGAACCUUACCAGCUUUUGACAUGUCCGGUUUGAUCGGCAGAGAUGCCUUUCUUCAGUUCGGCUGGCCGGAACACAGGUGCUGCAUGGCUGUCGUCAGCUCGUGUCGUGAGAUGUUGGGUUAAGUCCCGCAACGAGCGCAACCCUCGCCCCUAGUUGCCAUCAUUCAGUUGGGAACUCUAGGGGGACUGCCGGUGAUAAGCCGCGAGGAAGGUGGGGAUGACGUCAAGUCCUCAUGGCCCUUACAGGCUGGGCUACACACGUGCUACAAUGGCGGUGACAAUGGGCAGCGAAAGGGCGACCUCGAGCUAAUCCCAAAAAGCCGUCUCAGUUCAGAUUGCACUCUGCAACUCGAGUGCAUGAAGGUGGAAUCGCUAGUAAUCGUGGAUCAGCAUGCCACGGUGAAUACGUUCCCGGGUCUUGUACACACCG
rnacentral:rRNA from 1 species